rnacentral:rRNA from 1 species
AUUGAACGCUGGCGGUAUGCUUAAGACAUGCAAGUCGAACGGUAACAGGACUAGCUUGCUAGUUGCUGACGAGUGGCGGACGGGUGAGUAACGCGUGGGAAUCUGCCCAGUAGCGGGGGAUAGCCCGGAGAAAUCCGGAUUAAUACCGCAUACGCCCUACGGGGGAAAGGCUUCGGCCACUAUUGGAUGAGCCCGCGUUAGAUUAGCUUGUUGGUGAGGUAAAGGCUCACCAAGGCAACGAUCUAUAGCUGGUCUGAGAGGAUGAUCAGCCACAUCGGGACUGAGACACGGCCCGGACUCCUACGGGAGGCAGCAGUCGGGAAUAUUGGACAAUGGGCGAAAGCCUGAUCCAGCAAUACCGCGUGUGUGAUGAAGGCCUUAGGGUUGUAAAAUUCUUUUAGUGGAGAAGAUAAUGACGGUAUCCACAGAAAAAGUCCCGGCUAACUUCGUGCCAGCCGCCGCCGUAACAC